rnacentral:rRNA from 1 species
GACGUAGGGCGCGAGCGUUGUCCGGAUUUAUUGGGCGUAAAGAGCGUGUAGGCGGCCAGACAGGUCCGUUGUGAAAACUAGAGGCUUAACCUCUAGACGUCGAUGGAAACCGUUUGGCUAGAGUCCGGAAGAGGAGAAUGGAAUUCCUGGUGUAGCGGUGAAAUGCGCAGAUAUCAGGAAGAACACCCGUGGCUAAGGCGGUUCUCUAGUACGGUACUGACGCUGAGACGCGAAAGCGUGGGGAGCGAACAGG